UACGUAGGUGGCAAGCGUUGUCCGGAUUUACUGGGCGUAAAGAGCGCGCAGGCGGUCGUUCAAGUCGCGUGUGAAAGCCCCCGGCUCAACUGGGGAGGGUCACGCGAUACUGAUCGACUCGAAGGCAGGAGAGGGUAGUGGAAUUCCCGGUGUAGCAGUGAAAUGCGUAGAGAUCGGGAGGAACAUCAGUUGCGAAGGCGGCCACCUGGACCAGCACUGACACUGAGGCACGAAAGCCAGGGGAGCAAACGGG
rnacentral:rRNA from 1 species